UAACAAAGGGAAGCUAAGCCGCGAGGUGGAGCAAAACCCAAAAAAGACAGUCUCAGUUCGGAUUGAAGGCUGAAAUUCGCCUUCAUGAAGCCGGAAUUGCUAGUAAUGGCAGGUCAGCAUACUGCCGUGAAUACGUUCCCGGGCCUUGUACACACCGCCCGUCACACCAUGAGAGUUGGCAAUACCCAACGUACGUGAUCUAACCCGCAAGGGAGGAAGCGUCCUAAGGUAGGGUCAGCGAUUGGGGUGAAGUCGUAACAAGGUAGC
rnacentral:rRNA from 1 species